GGAAGGGGUGUAUUUAUUAGAUAAAAAACCAAUGCCCUUCGGGGCUCUUUGGUGAUUCAUGAUAACUUAACGGAUCGCAUGGCCUUGCGCCGGCGACGGUUCAUUCAAAUUUCUGCCCUAUCAACUUUCGAUGGUAAGGUAUUGGCUUACCAUGGUUUCAACGGGUAACGGGGAAUUAGGGUUCGAUUCCGGAGAGGGAGCCUGAGAAACGGCUACCACAUCCAAGGAAGGCAGCAGGCGCGCAAAUUACCCAAUCCCGACACGGGGAGGUAGUGACAAUAAAUACUGAUACAGGGCUCUUUCGAGUCUUGUAAUCGGAAUGAGUACAAUUUAAAUCCCUUAACGAGGAACAAUUGGAGGGCAAGUCUGGUGCCAGCAGCCGCGGUAAUUCCAGCUCCAAUAGCGUAUAUUAAAGUUGUUGCAGUUAAAAAGCUCGUAGUUGAACCUUGGGCCUGGCUGGCCGGUCCGCCUCACCGCGUGUACUGGUCCGGCCGGGCCUUUCCUUCUGGAGAGCCCCAUGCCCCUCACUGGGCGUGCGGGGGAACCAGGACUUUUAC
rnacentral:rRNA from 1 species